UGUCUCCUACGGGAGGCAGCAGUGGGGAAUAUUGCACAAUGGGGGAAACCCUGAUGCAGCGACGCCGCGUGAGUGAAGAAGUAUUUCGGUAUGUAAAGCUCUAUCAGCAGGGAAGAUAAUGACGGUACCUGAGUAAGAAGCCCCGGCUAACUACGUGCCAGCAGCCGCGGUAAUACGUAGGGGGCAAGCGUUAUCCGGAUUUACUGGGUGUAAAGGGAGCGUAGACGGCCGUGCAAGUCUGAUGUGAAAACCCGGGGCUCAACCCCGGGACUGCAUUGGAAACUGCAUGGCUGGAGUGUCGGAGG
rnacentral:rRNA from 1 species